rnacentral:rRNA from 1 species
UGAGAGUCCUGAAGGAACGUUGAAGACGACGACGUUGAUAGGUCGGGUGUGUAAGCGCAGCGAUGCGUUGAGCUAACCGAUACUAAUGAACCGUGAGGCUUAACCUU